rnacentral:misc_RNA from 1 species
CAAAAUAGGAACAGUGGAUGUUUUAAGGACAGGUUCAUAAUUUUUUCUGAUUCAACUGAACAUCAACAGAAACUAUAAAACUAUUUACACAACUGCCAGACAUUGCCUUCUAGCCCCUACAUGAAUCACCCAGGUGCAUAACUUUCAGCCAGGCUAAUCGUCUCUCACUUUUUAAUGAUAUGAAUGUCUUUCUCCAGUGCGCAUUCUGAAACAAAUCUACAGCAGCAUUGUAUGGAACAUGAUCAACACCUUGCAUUCCAUUUAUUAUUGCAAGGCAGUGGCCUAUAG